UCGCUAACCCUCCCUCGCCAAAUCCCCUCGCCCCCCGCGCCCGCUCCACUGCCGCCGACGACCCCUGCACCCGACGACCCCCGCACCCGCUCCACCGCCGCUGUCCGCCCGCGCCCGCUCCACUCGCCCUCCUCGGCCUAGCAGCGAGAAGAGCCCAGAAAGCCUCGCCGCCAUCACCCCCCUGCCCUCCCGACGAACCCUAGCCGCCCCUGCCCUCGAGCGCGAGCCGCAGCCAAUCCAGCCACCGGCGGGGCGGUGCGCAUCCUCAGCACCAUCAACCGCGAGCUGCUCAAGCCCUCCGCCUCCGUCGUGCUGCACCAUCGCCCUUUAGCUUCAGCACCGCCGCCGCCAUUGACCCACCGACGACUGCUCCUCCUCCUCCUUCGGUUACUCCGGCUCCGGCACCAGUGCCUCCUCCUGCUACCUACGCGGUCUACCUCAACAUCUACGACAUCUCCCCCAUCAACAACUACCUCUACUGGUUCGGCCUCAACAUCUUCCACUCCACCGUCGAAGCUGCUGAAGAAGUCCGGGUGGAAGAAGGACACAGGCCUUGGUGCGCAGGAGCAAGUCUGUGUCUCUGUUCUCUUCUCUCUUCUCUGCACUCAUGGAUGGCUGCAGAUAUGUGAAAUUUGUUGUGCAAUUGUAGACUCUGAAAUGAGAAACAAUAAACCGAAACUGUAGAUAUGUGUUUGAAAAUUGGAA